rnacentral:piRNA from 1 species
UAUAGCAUUUCUCUUGUCGCCA